rnacentral:lncRNA from 1 species
GUGCACUACAGUCUUGGACUCCUGGCCUCAAGCAAUCCCACCUGUUUCCUGAGUAGCUGGACUAUAGGUUCCCUGACCUCCCUGGACCUCAGUUUCCAAAUCUGCUGAUGGAGGAUGAUGUUUUCAGUGCCUACACAGCUCCCAAAGUGAAGAUGAUAUGGAAACUGGGUGGUGUCGAGGACGGUCACACAGAGCCAAGGAGCAGAAAUGCUUGCCCUGCUUCUGCCAUGGUCUUCACAGUGAGAGACAGGCAGCUAUGCCCCUGAAUUCUCCAGGACCUGCCAAGUUGGGCCAUUUCAGAGAGGAGAAACUGAGACUCGGAGCUAUGUAAUCAGCAUACUGGAGCAUAGAAAGCAGAGACAGGCAGAAGGCAAGAACUCAGAGAUGGGAAAGGAAUCCUGACCCACCCAGAUUGGCAAAGCCAUUGCAGACCCAUGGUUCUGGGGUUUUCCUGUUGGCUCGCAAAGUGAUAUCAAGUCAGAGGUAUUGUUUUCCCUUGUCUCUGCCAUUGAUAAGACAGAGAAAAACAGCUCCCAUGAUAACAUUGAUGCUGCCAGCCCUUCCUGCUACUGGCUUUCCUGGUUGGAGUCCUCUCCUAUGCUCCUUCCUCUCUCUCCUUCCGGACUGAGAUUCAAGCCGAGAUGCCUUGUGGGGCAAAGGAGCCGGCGGUGAGGUUCCCUCCUUCAGUUGCUUCAGCAGGCACAUAGCUCCUUCUGAUCUUGGACAAAGCCCAAAAGGCUCUGAGGCAGUGGUGUGCUGGGGCAGGCUCAUACUGACUCAUUAGAGCCAAUUGCUAAAUUUCGGGGAAUCUUGUAAGCCAAUUGUUAAACACAGUCAUUAUUAAAAAUUAGAUGAUAUGAGAUUGCAACUAAAUAAUUUAUACUUUUUUAAAAGUAAUAAACACUCCUAACUCAUCAUGUCCUAUUUACUUUAUUGCAUUUUACUGUUA